UUCCGGUUGAUCCCGCCAGACCCGACUGCUAUCAGAGUGGGACUAAGCCAUGCGAGUCAACGCCGCAAGGCGUGGCAUACGGCUCAGUAACACGUAGCCAACAUGCCCAAAGGACGUGGAUAACCUCGGGAAACUGAGGAUAAACCGCGAUAGGCCAAGGUUUCUGGAAUGAGCCAUGGCCGAAAUCUAUAUGGCCUUUGGAUUGGACUGCGGCCGAUCAGGCUGUUGGUGAGGUAAUGGCCCACCAAACCUGUAACCGGUACGGGCUUUGAGAGAAGGAGCCCGGAGAUGGGCACUGAGACAAGGGCCCAGGCCCUAUGGGGCGCAGCAGGCGCGAAACCUCUGCAAUAGGCGAAAGCUUGACAGGGUUACUCUGAGUGAUGCCCGCUAGGGGUAUCUUUUGGCACCUCUAAAAUGGUGCAGAAUAAGGGGUGGGGCAGUCUGGUGUCAGCCGCCGCGGUAAUACCAGCACCCCCGAGUGUCGGGAACGAUAUUGGGCCUAAAGCAUCCGUA
rnacentral:rRNA from 1 species